CCCUUAGAUGUCCGGGGCCGCACGCGCGCUACACUGAAGGAAUCAGCGUGGCUUUCUCCCUGACCCGAAAGGGUUGGGAAACCCGUUGAAUCUCCUUCGUGAUAGGGAUUGGGGCUUGAAAUUGUUCCCCAUGAACGAGGAAUUCCCAGUAAGCGCGAGUCAUAAGCUCGCGUUGAUUACGUCCCUGCCCUUUGUACACACCGCCCGUCGCUACUACCGAUUGAGUGAUCCGGUGAAUUAUUCGGACUGUAACGUGUUCAGUUCCUGGAUGCAGUUAUGGGAAGUUUUGUGAACCUUACCACUUAGAGGAAGGAGAAGUCGUAACA
rnacentral:rRNA from 1 species